rnacentral:rRNA from 1 species
UAGGGAAUCUUCCGCAAUGGACGCAAGUCUGACGGAGCAACGCCGCGUGAGUGAAGAAGGAUUUCGGUUCGUAAAACUCUGUUGUUAGAGAAGAACAGCGCAUAGAGUAACUGUUAUGCGUGUGACGGUAUCUAACCAGAAAGCCACGGCUAACUACGUGCCAGCAGCCGCGGUAAUACGUAGGUGGCAAGCGUUGUCCGGAUUUAUUGGGCGUAAAGCGAGCGCAGGCGGUCAAUUAAGUCUGAUGUGAAAGCCCCCGGCUCAACCGGGGAGGGUCAUUGGAAACUGGUUGACUUGAGUGCAGAAGAGGAGAGUGGAAUUCCAUGUGUAGCGGUGAAAUGCGCAGAGAUAUGGAGGAACACCAGUGGCGAAGGCGACUUUCUGGUCUGUAACUGACGCUGAUGCGCGAAAGCGUGGGGAUCAAACAGG